UUAAUACUUUUUGUUUGUGGAAACACCACGUAAAUUUAUUACUGCAGUAAUAAAUUUACGCGGUGUUUCCACAAACAAAAAGUAUUAU